GACGAACCGUGCGAACGUUGUUCGGAAUCACUGGGCUUAAAGGGCGCGUAGGCGGGCAAGCAAGUCCGGGGUGAAAGCCCCCAGCUCAACUGGGGAAGUGCCUUGGAAACUGCUUGUCUAGAGGGAGGUAGGGGCAUGUGGAACUUCGGGUGGAGCGGUGAAAUGCGUUGAUAUCCGAAGGAACGCCGGUGGCGAAAGCGACGUGCUGGAUCUCUUCUGACGCUGAGGCGCGAAAGCUAGGGGAGCAAACGGG
rnacentral:rRNA from 1 species